rnacentral:tRNA from 1 species
GGUGGGGUGACCGAUGGCGAGGUAGCAGUCCGCAAGGCUGUGCACGCAGGUUCGAUUCCUGCCCCCACCU